ACAUGCCUACAACAUAGUGUUAAUGCACCAGGUUCCAUUAGAAUUUUGUAGUUAAGCACACUCGGUCUAGAGUAGUACUCGGAUGGGUGACCACUCGAGAAGUCUCUGUGUUUUACAUGCC
rnacentral:rRNA from 1 species